UGGGGAAUAUUGGACAAUGGGCGAAAGCCUGAUCCAGCCAUGCCGCGUGUGUGAAGAAGGUCUUCGGAUUGUAAAGCACUCUAAGUUGGGAGGAAGGGCAGUAAGCUAUACCUUGCUGUUUUGACGUUACCGACAGAAUAAGCACCGGCUAACUUCGUGCCAGCAGCCGCGGUAAUACGAAGGGUGCAAGCGUUAAUCGGAAUUACUGGGCGUAAAGCGCGCGUAGGUGGUUCGUUAAGUUGGAUGUGAAAGCCCCGGGCUCAACCUGGGAACUGCAUCCAAAACUGGCGAGCUAGAGUACGGUAGAGGGUGGUGGAAUUUCCUGUGUAGCGGUGAAAUGCGUAGAUAUAGGAGGAACACCAGUGGCGAAGGCGACCACCUGGACUGAUACUGACACUGAGGUGCGAAAGCGUGGGGAGCAAACAGGACUANAUACCCUGGUAGUCCACGCCGUAAACGUGUCAACUAGCCGUUGGGUUCCUUGAGAGCUU
rnacentral:rRNA from 1 species